CCUCUCCCUCCUUCUUUCUCCCUCUCUGCCUCUUACCCUCUCUCCCCCCCUCUCUCACACACACACUCCCUCUCCCUCUCUCACUAUGUAGCUCAUUGAAGCUGGCCCCACAAUUCUCCUGGGUUCUGGGAACUCAGACAUAUGCCACUGUGCAUGCCUUCAAGAUUUCAUCCUUAGGCAAGAGAAUAAUUUAAGAGUUAUCUCUAGGCCAAGCUUGGAGGUCUGGGUGAGCCCACUUUGAUCUGAGAGUCCUUGUCUUGUGGAUUUCAUCACCUGUGGUGGUUUGAAAGAAAAUGGACCCUAAAGGGAGUGGUACUAUUAGGAGGUGUGGCUUUGUUAGAGAAGGUAUGGUAUGGUUUUGUUGAAAGAAGUGUGUCACUGUGGAGGCAGGAUUUGAAGUCUCAUAUAUGCUCAAGACAUGCCCAGUGUCUCAGACUGUCAUGUCCUGUUGCCUGUAAGUCAAAAUGUAAGAACUCUCAGCUCCUUCUCUAGCACCAUGUCUACCUGUAUGCUAUCUUGCUUCCAGCCAUGACUAUAAUGGACUAAACCUCUGAACUCCCCAUUUGAAGGAAGGUAUGGAAACUGAGGACACGCUCCUCCCUAUGCCUCCAAAUGACAAAGGAUAGAGAAGCCAGCCUGCAAGGAUGAGCACUCCAGUUGGAAAUGACUCAAAACUAGGACAAAGACAACCUGCAGUCAUCUUGGAUUCCAGAAACAGCAAAUGCCUCACAAUGCAGACUACCUUCCCACCCCAGUGAUAAGGACAAUCAUCUAUGAGGGUGCCCCGGAGGAGAAGUGACCAAUCCCCUCAAACAUGGCAAUUGUGUUGGUAACAACUUCUCCAGGCCACCUGGCAAACUGGAACUGGGAUGAUGAUCAGCUAGACCAGUGUCUUGUCCACAACCACUUGGUUACUCAGACCUCCUGUUCUAUCUUGAUUCUCCACCUUCUACAACCUGAGGCUCCUGUCAGCAACCUGAAGACUGGCUUUGGAGUCAUUGAACCCAUGUCCUUUCCCAUGUGGCCACAUGGAUUAAAUCUCCUCUUCCUGUUCUUCACUAAUAUAAGUCUUUUUAAUUGGCAUGUUUAAUUGUGUUGAAUGACAAAAAUUUUUUCCUGGAGAGAUGUAACACACACAUCUACUCACUGCAGAUAGGGAUCCUGUGACAGACCAAAAAUUAACUCAUAACUGCUACAAUAUGUCCUAAGAAAAUUGGUAACAUCCCAGUGCCUACCAGUAUCAGAAGGACUGGGAAUUGCUGGUGUGUGUGUGAUACAUUGAUGGUUGCCACGCAAUGAGCAAUGAUCCACUGCUUUCAGGCUAAUGGAGAUGAAGAGCACUUGGUCCUCAUUAAUAUCUGUCUUGAAAAUACAUGUUCUCAUUCUUCUCAAGAGUGCUUAAGGAAGAUAUCUCAGCAAUGUGAGGAGAAGAUGUGUAUUGGGAAUGAAGGACAAUGAAUAACCUAAAGCCAAAUGGCUAUCUAACAAAUGACAGAGUAGACUGUGAGUUCUUGGAGACAAACUAUGAUUGGAAGAGCUUGGAUUUCAGCAUCUGCACAUGUAGCAGAAUGUGGGGUAAGUUCCAGCUCACUGAACUUUGCUCUCCACAUCUGUGAAAUGAGGUGGGGGAAACCUUAUCCUCAGGAGUGUCAUAAGGACUCAAGGGAACUGUGUGUAAACCACCUGAUGCUGGGCCUAAGGAGCUGGCUCGACAAGAAUGCUUCCUGUUCUUGCAGAGGACUCAAGUUCACCCAUAUCAGGCAACUCACAACUGCCAACAACUACAGCUCCAGGGAAUCUGACACCUUCUCUGGCUUCCUCAGGUACCUGCAUCUAUAUCCACACACAGACACAUAUUUAGAAAUAAAGCUAAUCUUCUAAAAAAAAAAAGUCAACAAGCUGAAUGGUGGUGGUGCACUCCUUUAAUCCUAAGGAGACAGAGGCAGGCAAAUCUCUGAGUUUGAGGCCAGCCUGGUCUACAGAGUGA
rnacentral:lncRNA from 1 species